UUUCUUUCCCCUACGAAAACCUUACCGGAUUUUGCCAUUCUUGGCUCCCUGUUUUUUCUUUUUCUUUCCGAAACCCUUCAAAAAAAAACCCAUGAACAGAACUUCACCACUUCCAUUGUCACCACCAUAGCAUCAAUAAUCAGGUCGAUUAUUUUCUCCAACAAAUCAGAAAACGGCACCUCUCUGAGUGGUUAAUCAACCCUAAAUAUUUGUUUUGAUCGACCCUAAACCGUAACCUAUCUGUUUUCUUUAUCCAGAUUUUUUCUUUCUCGUGAAGUUCUUUAUUUCUCAGAGAUUUUGAAGAUCGAGAAAAGGAAGAUAUACCAAUUCAUCUUGUUUAUCAUACAUUGAUUUUGGGUGUGUAGACAUCUGCUAAACAAGUAACAUGAGAAAUAGUAUUCGUCCUUGGUUUCUCUCUUCUUUCUCGAAUCACACUCUUCUUUCUCAAAUCAUCAUUGCGAAUCUUCAUUAUCAACUAUGGACUAAUUAAACAAACAAAAGUUGAAGAAAUUGUUGAAAAUCAAUUAGAUUCAACCAAAAUUGGGGAAAAGGGUAAAUUUCUGCUUAAUUUUUGAUUUACACCUUUG